AGCCUCCGCUGGGCAGCUGAGCCACAGAUGGGGUGUGUGGGUGGGCUCUGAACAUGAAGCUGGUGGUGCCAGUCCAGUCCAUUUCAAAACUGAUGUCUGCCAUGGAACAAAAUAUCCAUGUCUGGCAUUAACUGAGCUUCCACUUCGGAAGUUUCAUGGGAGAAAAUGCCAAACCAGCCCAGACACUGAAAAAGCUACAAGAGACCAAACACUGGUGGGUGAGUGCGAUGCAGUUCACGUCACUGCUGUCUGUGGGGAUAUGCUUUACUCUGCAGGAGCGUGAAUAAAGGUUGCUGAUGAAUCUUUUAAUGAAUUCUACAGUCACGUACUGAAGAGGAAGGUUCUGGCUGGUAAUGCUGACGUUGGUAAGGAGGUGGCUGGACAGGUGGACAUCUGACACUAAAAGGCAAUUGCCUCCCUUUAGAGGCCCUACACACAUGGAAGAUUGCUGCCAAGAAGGACUGAAGAGUUUGCUUUUUAUAUGUCCACCUGGAACCAUGUGAGACUGCCAGUGUCAUGGCAGGCAAAUAAGAGCCUCUGUGUUAUUUAGCUUAUGGUGAGCACAGCAAACAGAACAGAAUAGUUAUGACACGUUAUUCUCAGAGUUCUGCAUGACAACCUAUGACCCAAGCCUGAGGACUCCAUCCUGGAGAGCAGCUCUCUGCAGUAUAGGGCCUAGACCCAUCCAAGAGACAGGGACAGAAACAGGUACACCUCCAGCAUGGCUCAGGCAGGGACUAAAGGCCCCAGGCUAAGCUGGGACACAUUCCCUGGGCCCUUGGCAGGAGACAGUGCAGGUAGGAGUCCCAGAGGAGGUCGGUCCCAGCCACUGAGGCCUGUGAGCACCCUCAGGACCCUGAAAGAAGCAGACUUGCACUGCUCAUGUGCUUUCCUUUAGUCACUGGUGGUUGGCCCCUUUGGAGAUCAAGUUUUGGGUGAGAUGGACCUUCCCUCUGAGGAAGUGCUGCUGUUCUCAGGCACAGGACACUACAAUAACUGAGGCCCUACGGAAAGGGACACUGGACAACAACAAGCUGAACAUCUCCUGAAAGCUUCUCCUGCAGAGCCCACCUCAACCAAUUAUCUCCAGCAUCAUUUCCUAUCCUCAACGAAGGGAUCAAGUUCCAAAA